rnacentral:tRNA from 1 species
CAGAGUGUAGCUAAACAGAAUAGCAUCUCCCUUACACUGAGAAGUUUCCCGUGCAACCCGGGCCCCUCUGA